AUUGAACGCUGGCGGCAGGCCUAACACAUGCAAGUCGAACGAGUGGCGGACGGGUGAGUAAUGUCUGGGAAACUGCGUGAUGGAUGGGGAUAACUACUGGAAACGGUAGCUAAUACCGCAUACCAUCAGAUGUGCCCAGAUGGUAGUAGCUAGUUGGUGGGGUAACGGCUCACCAAGGCGACGCUCCCUAGCUGGUCUGAGAGGAUGACCAGCCACACUGGAAAUGAGACACGGUCCAGACUCCUACGGGAGGCAGCAGUGGGGAAUAUUGCACAGUGGGCGAAAGCCUGAUGCAGCCAUGCCGAGUGUAUGAAGAAGGCCUUCGGGUUGUAAAGUACUUUCAGCGGGGAGGCGUUACCCGCAGAAGAAGCAACGGCUAACUCCGUGCCAGCAGCCGCGGUAAUAC
rnacentral:rRNA from 1 species